CCUACGGGCGGCAGCAGUGGGGAAUAUUGGGCAAUGGGCGCAAGCCUGACCGAGCAACGCCGCGUGAAGGAAGAAGGCUUUCGGGUUGUAAACUUCUUUUGUCAGGGACGAAGGAAGUGACGGUACCUGACGAAUAAGCCACGGCUAACUAAGUGCCAGCAGCCGGGGUAAUACGUAGGUGGCAAGCGUUAUCCGGAUUUACUGGGGGAAAAGGGCGUGUAGGCGGGACUGCAAGUCAGAUGUGAAAACCACGGGCUCAACCUGUGGCCUGCUUUUGAAACUGUAGUUCUUGAGUACUGGAGGGGCAGACGGAAUUCCUGGUGUAGCGGUGAAAUGCGUAGAUAUUAGGAGGAACACCAGUGGCGAAGGCGGUCUGCUGGACAGCAACUGACGCUGAGGCGCGAAAGCGUGGGGAGCAAACAGGAUUAGAUACCCCAGAGUC
rnacentral:rRNA from 1 species